rnacentral:lncRNA from 1 species
UCUUUUUGUCCUAUUCAUACCCAAUGUCCUUGCAAGGUUGGGGCAGGAUUUCAUAUUUGAUAAAAGAGAGCUGCUAAACAGACAUGGAGUGAGGCAAAGAUUAAAAUCCCAGUUUUUCCAUGAUUAACUCUUCAUCUGAGCCAGGGCCUUUUGUAGCCCAGGCUGGCCUUGACUUGCAGUAUACCUUAGGAUAAUCCUCUUAUGGUCCUGUUUCUACUUCCUAACCCGUAGGAUUACAUGGGUAUCACCAUACCCAGUUUGUUUGUUUGUUUGUUUGUUUGUUUAGAUAGUGUCUUAAGAUGUAGCUCAGGCUAUCCUCAAAUUUAGCCAUCUGCCUCUACCUCCUGGGGUUUUCAGGUGUGAGGUGUUUCACUGUCCCACAAGGCCACUGUUACUUUCUAGAAACAUAGAUGAAGCUGCCAGUGCCUAGCAUGGAGCCUCACUGGGUGCAUGUGAAGUUAGGGCAGGGGGCUUAGAGAUGGGGCUCCUAAUGAACUGAACCUUGCAAUGAUUGAAUGAGUCAUCCAGUAAACGACUGUUGUGGCCCAGGAACAUAUGGAUAGUGGUGACAUGGGUAGUGGAGCCAAGGUCCUUAAAAAAAAAGAUUUAUUUAUUAAUUUCAUGUAUAUGAAUACACUGUAGCUGUCUUCAGACACACCAUAAGAGGGCAUCUCAGACCCCAUUAGAGAUGGUUGUGCAGCCGUGUGGUUGCUGGGAUUUGAACUCAGGACCUCAGGAAGAGCAGCCAGUGCUCUUAACCGCUGAGCCACCUCUCCAGCUCCAGGGUCCAUUUUAGACUCUUAAGUUACUCCGUUUCUUUUAUUUUUUCCCUCUUUUAAAAAAUAAUUUAAAAAAUUUUUUUUAAUUUUAUGUGCAUUAGUGUUUUGCUUGGAUGUAUUAUGUCUUUGUGACAGUGUCAGUUCCCUGGAACUGGAGUUACAGACAAGUGCCAUGUGGGUGCUGGGAACUGAACCCAGGACCCCUGGAAGAGCAGUCCAGCCUUGGUUUCUCCCUUUCUUAUAUGAUACUUCCAAAAGUCUGGCCUGAUAUUGAUAGUCAAUAAGUCAUGCUGAGUGACACGUUUUUGGUUUGGUCCAUACAUGAGUUCCUACCUAGCCCACUGGGCGCUCUCUGCUUGUACAGAGACUCUUUCUUGGCUGUGCUGGAAUGCUUCCCCAGGGGCAGCUCAUCCCAGAAUUCCCAUCUCUGGGGUGAGCUGUCCCUGGGGGAUAGAUUGUGUUUUGGGAUGCUAGGUAGGGCUGGCGAAUUCUGGAAUGAUUGUGAUCUAACUUGUGCUUUUAGCAAGACAGCGUGUGCCUUCUUAACCACAUCCCGGGAUGCUGUCAGGUGCAAUGCCUCUGCUAGAAGCAUGUGAUUCAUGAGCAUAUUCAGGGCUGGUACCCAGCGGACAGCCUCUAUGGAUCCCAACCAGGGUUAGGCAGAGUGGCUUUUUAAUGUAUUUUCUAGAUGAGAUCUUAAUCUGUAACCAAGACUGCCCUUGAAUUUAGGAUCCUUCUUCCUCAACCUUAGGCAUGCUGGGAUUACAGGUGUGGAACAGGUCCACCCCUCUGUCACCCCCAGCCUCAUGUCUUUGUCAGUCCUAGAGCACAGACCCCAGGGGCGCUCUGCAGGGGACCCUGUCUCUGAUUUGACACUCGCUGUGACCUAAUGUCCACCUUCCCUGCCACUGUGUUGUUCCAUAGGAACCGAGUUGGAGGUAGCUCAGGUCCUGUCUCCUUUUCUGCGUUCUGUUGGUUCUCUGCUUCUUCUGCAGCAGGGCCCCAUCACCCUGGCCUUCUUGAUUUUGCUCCCUGGGCUUUCCUGGGGGCUUCAGUCUUACUUUCUCUACCUUUAGCGCCAGGCUUUCCAGACACUCUCCUUCUUAGACUGGUAUGUAAGCUAAGCUGCCCACGGUUUUACCCUGUCCACAUUGCCUUGCUUCUGUUAUUGGGGCAUUCUCUCCUUUCCCCUCCCCUCCCCCCCCUCCCCACCCUUCCCUUCCCCUCUCUUCCCCUCCUCUCCUCUCUCUCCUCUCCUCUCUCCUCUCUCCUCUCAUUUUUCCAGACAUAAUCUCUCUGUGUAGCCCUGGCUGUCCUGUAACUCACUCUGUAGACCAGGGUGACCCCAAACUCAGACAUCUACCUGCCUUUGCCUUCCUGGUGCUGGGUUAAAAGUGUGUACCUCGCCCCCAGGGUUUCUCUGUGUAGCCCUGGCUGUCCUGGAACACUCUGUAGACCAGGCUGACCUGGAACUCAGAAAUCCGCCUGCCUCUGCCUCCCAAGUGCUGGGAUUAAAGGCGCGCGCCACCACUGCCUGGCCAAGUGUGUGCCUUUUAAUGAAUCAUGAAUUAAUUAAUUACUGAUUGUUAAUUAAUAACUAAUUAAUUAAUAAUUAAAGAUGGUGACUGCCUAGCAUCCAUAGCUUUUUGAAACGUAGUUCUGCUCUUCCCUUAGGAAGCUUAACUACUGAGCUAAGAAUGAGAGUGGAUACUUUGUGGCAGGCUGGGAUCAGCCCCUCCCUACUCUCCACAUGCACUUCACUGUCUAAAACUCUACCAAGACACUCAGCUAAGAUGUGAAAGGGGAAAUAGAGGGAGUGUGGCUGUGUGCCAGGGACCAAGGGAAAAGGAGUUGGGUGACCUAGUGGUCUGUGCUCUGGCAGGCAGGCCAGUGUCACCUGCAAAAGGCCAUGCUGAGGAUGCUCCCGGGAGGACAGGGGCCAGGUUAGAGAGGGUACAGAGGACAAAGGUAGUCAAAGUUUGCCUGGUGUGGGGGACAUGGGCAGGUUGCUAGGGUGUGACAGUAUGGCCUGGGUCAGUACCAGGCUGCUGGGAAUCCGGCAAGGCCACUGUGAGUGAAGUCCUGGGGGUGUGGGGGGGGACAAGGGUUUGCUUGGGCGGGGAGAGGUCAGAAGUGGAAAAAGACUAGGGAGGGCUGAGCUGGGGGAGAUGGAGAUGGCCUUGGCCUUGGCCAUGGCGGGUGUGGAAAGGAAGAAUGAAGGAGUGGAUAGGAUAUGAGAGGCUGGAGAAUAAGGGAGACAGGUAAGAAACUGGGAAGCAAGAUGAACAUUCUGGUAUAUAACAGUGGCAGGACAGGUAGAGAAGCCAUUUUAAAUUUUUAUUUAUUUUUUUUAUUUUCUUUACGCUAGGGAAGAAAUGAAACACCCACACCAAAAGAAAACAAAAAUAGUAUUUGGCCAACUCACAAUGAAAUAUACAUUCAUUUAC